GACGAACGCUGGCGGCGUGCUUAACACAUGCAAGUCGAACGGAAAGGCCCUGCUUUUGUGGGGUGCUCGAGUGGCGAACGGGUGAGUAACACGUGAGUAACCUGCCCUUGACUUUGGGAUAACUUCAGGAAACUGGGGCUAAUACCGGAUAGGAGCUCCUGCUGCAUGGUGGGGGUUGGAAAGUUUCGGCGGUUGGGGAUGGACUCGCGGCUUAUCAGCUUGUUGGUGGGGUAGUGGCUUACCAAGGCUUUGACGGGUAGCCGGCCUGAGAGGGUGACCGGCCACAUUGGGACUGAGAUACGGCCCAGACUCCUACGGGAGGCAGCAGUGGGGAAUAUUGCACAAUGGGCGGAAGCCUGAUGCAGCAACGCCGCGUGCGGGAUGACGGCCUUCGGGUUGUAAACCGCUUUCGCCUGUGACGAAGCGUGAGUGACGGUAAUGGGUAAAGAAGCACCGGCUAACUACGUGCCAGCAGCCGCGGUGAUACGUAGGGUGCGAGCGUUGUCCGGAUUUAUUGGGCGUAAAGGGCUCGUAGGUGGUUGAUCGCGUCGGAAGUGUAAUCUUGGGGCUUAACCCUGAGCGUGCUUUCGAUACGGGUUGACUUGAGGAAGGUAGGGGAGAAUGGAAUUCCUGGUGGAGCGGUGGAAUGCGCAGAUAUCAGGAGGAACACCAGUGGCGAAGGCGGUUCUCUGGGCCUUUCCUGACGCUGAGGAGCGAAAGCGUGGGGAGCGAACAGGCUUAGAUACCCUGGUAGUCCACGCUGUAAACGGUGGGUACUAGGUGUGGGGUCCAUUCCACGGGUUCCGUGCCGUAGCUAACGCUUUAAGUACCCCGCCUGGGGAGUACGGCCGCAAGGCUAAAACUCAAAGGAAUUGACGGGGCCCCGCACAAGCGGCGGAGCAUGCGGAUUAAUUCGAUGCAGCGCGUAGAACCUUACCUGGGUUUGACAUGGAUCGGGAGCGCUCAGAGAUGGGUGUGCCUCUUUUGGGGUCGGUUCACAGGUGGUGCAUGGCUGUCGUCAGCUCGUGUCGUGAGAUGUUGGGUUAAGUCCCGCAACGAGCGCAACCCUUGUUCACUGUUGCCAGCACGUUAUGGUGGGGACUCAGUGGAGACCACCGGGGUCAACUCGGAGGAAGGUGGGGAUGACGUCAAGUCAUCAUGCCCCUUAUGUCCAGGGCUUCACGCAUGCUACAAUGGCUGGUACAGAGAGUGGCGAGCCUGUGAGGGUGAGCGAAUCUCGGAAAGCCGGUCUCAGUUCGGAUUGGGGUCUGCAACUCGACCUCAUGAAGUCGGAGUCGCUAGUAAUCGCAGAUCAGCAACGCUGCGGUGAAUACGUUCCCGGG
rnacentral:rRNA from 1 species